UACGUAGGGGGCGAGCGUUAUCCGGAAUUAUUGGGCGUAAAGAGUGCGUAGGUGGUCUUGUAAGCGUGGGGUAAAAGGCUAUGGCUCAACCAUAGUAAGCCUUGCGAACUGUGAGACUUGAGUGCAGGAGAGGAAAGUGGAAUUCCUAGUGUAGCGGUGAAAUGCGUAGAUAUUAGGAGGAACACCAGUGGCGAAGGCGACUUUCUGGACUGUAACUGACACUGAGGCACGAAAGCGUGGGUAGCAAACAGGAUUAGAUACCCUGGUAGUCCACGCCGUAAACGAUGAGCACUAGGUGUCGGGGUCGCAAGACUUCGGUGCCGAAGUUAACGCAUUAAGUGCUCCGCCUGGGGAGUACGCACGCAAGUGUAAAACUCAAAGGAAUUGACGGGGACCCGCACAAGCAGCGGAGCAUGUGGUUUAAUUCGAAGCAACGCGAAGAACCUUACCAGGACUUGACAUCCCUCUGACCGACUCUUAACCGAGUCUUCCCUUCGGGGCAGAGGAGACAGGUGGUGCAUGGUU
rnacentral:rRNA from 1 species